UACAGAGGGUGCGAGCGUUAAUCGGAAUUACUGGGCGUAAAGCGUGCGUAGACGGCUAUCUAAGUCGGGUGUGAAAGCCCCGGGCUCAACCUGGGAAUUGCAUUCGAGACUGAAUAGCUAGGGUACGGUAGAGGGAAGUGGAAUUUCCGGUGUAGCGGUGAAAUGCGUAGAUAUCGGGAGGAACACCAGUGGCGAAGGCGGCUUUCUGGUCUGCUCUUGACGCUGAGGCGCGAAAGCUAGGGUAGCAAACGGG
rnacentral:rRNA from 1 species